UAUAAUAUCUAGAAAAUAAAGAAGUUACCAUACCAUAACUUAAGGAUGUUUUAUUCCCUAAACCUUCACCAAGUGUGCCUCAGCCAACGAAGAACUAAGGUCUUCUCGAGAUUGUGAUCUCCUGCUUUGAAGACGCAUCUGACCUCUGUGAGGAGACCAGAAUGAACCCAUGCUAUUACUCUCAAUCAUCUGCCCUAAGCUACUUGAGGAAUAACUAUGUGAUACACCACUAGUUGACGGAUACAAAGACGACUCCAUAAGCUGAAUGCCGCUGCUGUCUAGACCAUGGGCCAAGCCAAAUGGGCUUUGAUGGUUACCCGCAAUUGUUGGACUCAGGGGCAUCUUUGCUCUUCCAUCUCCUAAAAGAAAAAUUUCAAGGUUUUCUUUAAAUAUAAGUCAAGGCAAACAAAAGCUAUGAGAGAUCAUAAAAAAAAAAAAAAAAAAAAAACCCAAAUAAAAAAUUCGCAAUUGUUUUGUUAAAAAGAAAAAGGCUAAACCUUCACCAAGUGUGCCUCAGCCAACGAAGAACUAAGGUCUUCUCGAGAUUGUGAUCUCCUGCUUUGAAGACGCAUCUGACCUCUGUGAGGAGACCAGAAUGAACCCAUGCUAUUACUCUCAAUCAUCUGCCCUAAG
rnacentral:lncRNA from 1 species